rnacentral:rRNA from 1 species
AGAGUUUGAUCCUGGCUCAGAACGAACGCUGGCGGCAUGCCUGACACAUGCAAGUCGAACGAACCCUUCGGGGUUAGUGGCGCACGGGUGCGUAACGCGUGGGAAUCUGCCCUUGGGUUCGGAAUAACAGUUAGAAAUGACUGCUAAUACCGGAUGAAGUCUUCGGACCAAAGAUUUAUCGCCCAGGGAUGUGCCCGCGUAGGAUUAGGUAGUUGGUGGGGUAAAGGCCUACCAAGCCGACGAUCCUUAGCUGGUCUGAGAGGAUGAUCAGCCACACUGGGACUGAGAUACGGCCCAGACUCCUACGGGAGGCAGCAGUGGGGAAUAUUGGACAAUGGGGGAAACCUUGAUCCAGCAAUGCCGCGUGAGUGAUGAAGGCCUUCGGGUCGUAAAGCUCUUUUACCAGGGAUGAUAAUGACAGUACCUGGAGAAUAAGCUCCGGCUAACUCCGUGCCAGCAGCCGCGGUAAUACGGAGGGAGCUAGCGUUGUUCGGAAUUACUGGGCGUAAAGCGCACGUAGGCGGUUACUCAAGUCAGAGGUGAAAGCCCGGGGCUCAACCCCGGAACUGCCUUUGAAACUAGGUGACUUGAAUCAUGGAGAGGCGAGUGGAAUUCCGAGUGUAGAGGUGAAAUUCGUAGAUAUUCGGAAGAACACCAGUGGCGAAGGCGACUCGCUGGACAAGUACUGACGCUG